rnacentral:lncRNA from 1 species
CCUCCGCCGCUUCUCCCGCGCCUUAUCCUCCCAGUUCCUCUCUCCUAGCUAAUCUCCAACCCUACACCAUCCUCUCCUCCUUGACCGCCUUUCUCCUCCAUUGGAAAAGGAGCACGGGCUCGUCUCUGCGUAGCCGCUACAAGGACGUCGGGUGGAGGGAUCAGUGGUCGGUGGUAAGAGUAGGAGCACACGGGGGCGGACGGCCUCCCUGCGCGACGGUGGAUACUUCACCGACGGCCAGCCAAUACGUCGGACAGAAGAAGAAGAUGGCGUGGGCGAUGAUAUGGUGCGGUGGAAGAAUACGGCGUGGGCGAUUCCGGUGAGAUAUGCCUCCAGCGACGCAAUAAUGUGAAGAUCCUCUCCACAAGCCAUACUCUUGCGUUGCAGCGAGAGGUCGUUAGAUUCGUCGUGCUAGACGUAGCCGUCGCCCACUUGCUCCACCUAAAGUUCCUCCUCCCCACCACGGGUAGAUGCCGGUGAGGCCAGCCUUCCCUGCACGUGCAGGUACUCCCCCGCCCCCUUUCCCUAUCUCUCUUCCCUGACCCCGUCUCUCGAUUGUACACAGAGAGAGACCCGUGGUGGCAGCACAACAGUGCUUCAGUGGAUAGGUUGUGAAAGAAAGUUCAGAUUAGGGACUAUCAUUCUCAUAGAGUCAUAGUAUGCUUUGCUGAGGUAGAUUUUUCAAGUUUACCAGGUUUAGUUAGGUUUUUGUACCCUUGUUGAGAUGGCAUGACACUGAUAAAUUUAUUUUGUUGACGUAGCUACUUUGUUCCCCAAUUUUACCGAUGCAUUUUAUUCUUAUAUCUACCUGAUUUCUUAACCGAUUCAUCUGUUGGCUUAGAUAGUACUUCAAAUUAUCCGGUGAUGCACACAUUUUAUUUCAAAAGAAAAUUUGAUUGAUUGAGGAGCUGCACACUAUCUCAGUUUGUAUAUGCUUUCAACGUCGAAAAUAAUUUAGCCAUGUUUAUGUUUUUUUGCUUAGGUGAGCCUUCCCAUGAUGAUGAAUUUGCAUAAGAAUGCAGAUUUUCCUUGGGAAUCCUACUAGAUGGGUAGAGAUCUUGAUAGAUUUACUUAAUAUUCAGGAGCCCAAGAGUAAUGUACUGUCUUCUCUAAUUUGGAAAUGAAGUAUGGUGUGCGGAGUGGAUGUACUAACAUAGUAUGUGCUUUUGUGCUGAAUUACAUGGAAGGUCAAGAUGACCUCACCUACUGAAAUGUUUUUUUGGUUAUGUUUAUUAAUCUAUGGAUGCCUACUGGCCCUAAAUAUGUUUGGUCAAAAUGUUUUCCUAUGAAGUUUCUAUGCUAUAUAAGAAAGUUAGUCUGAAAUAUUUGAAGUCAUAUUCUAUUGUAUAGUUGCAUAGCUAAUUCAGUUGCAUUAUUUCAGAGCAGGUGUUUGUAUCUAUCUUAUUUUUCAGGUUACUCGUAUUGCAUAGUGAUUGAUUUCGUGUAGACUCGUAUGCCAGAUUUUAUUUUAAAGUGUAUGCUGGACAUAUCCUCGUAAUAGUAAGUUCAUAUUCUAUUUCGAGGGACUCACCCAGGCACACGCUCCCACAUCAUCCCACUAAGGUAUGGUCCCUUGACAACCCUUCCUAUCUCUUUUGUUGCGAUUUUUGGCAGCUGUAGCCUGCAAGCUGAGACGAUAAGUCAUGCAUGUAGGGGGCGGUGUUCGUGGACAUGGAUGGGAAGCAUUUCAGGCACAUCCUCCGUUGGCUAAGGGACAUUUGUCAUCCCUGCGCUCUUGAAGUCCGUCGCCAAGGUGCCCAAGAAGGUCUAGAUGGAUGCAGGUGUCAUUGUCGCCUCCAACCUCGGCCGCUCUCCGGCAGCGGCGGGAACCUCCAGCUCAGCCUGGACGGAGCGAGCGGGCUUUUCGGCCCGCUCGUGGCCCGCUCUGGACCGGACGGGCCCGAAGAAAAAACUGACCGGUCCGGUUACUAAAAUUCAGCCCGAAAAUUACUCGGUCCGGUCCGGUUAAAACUCGGUCCGGCUCGGAGGACCGAGGCCCAUCCCAAUUAGAUCUAAUCACAAGGGCCCAGUCCAAUUAUAUGUUAUAGAUCGUGGGUGUCUGACCUACCCUAUCCCUCGAUCCAUUCCACCAGCGCCGCCGUUCUCCCCCUGGCCCCCUUCCUCUCAUUCCCUCGCGUCAGCCCCCGCCUCCUCUGCUCCUUCAGCAACAGGCUGUCGUUGCCGGCACAUCCACCUCGCCAGCCAGCCCCUCCGUCGGCCCCGUCCGCCCGCUGCGCUGCCAUCCGUCGGCGACCUUCGCUGCUGCCCGUCGCCUUGCGCCUCUUGCCUUCCUGCCAAGAACGCCGCACAUCAGGUGCUUCUUCUCCGGCUCCGGCCACCGUGCUACUACUCCGACCACCGCUCGAACGUCCUGGACCCACAUGGCAGUGACUCGACGUCGCGGGACCGUGGGACCGACGGUCCGCACCGAGCUUCACACCGGCCGGUCCGAUCUCUGAAAUCAGGCUCGCUGUACUGCUCGGUCCGGUCCGGUCCGGACUGCCGGAGUCCGGUCCAAACGGCGGCUCGGACCGGGACCGGACCGGCCCGGACCGUGUCCACCCUGACCUUCAGCCAUGGGUCUACGUCUCAGUGCUCAUUCUCUUUUCUAGGUAAAGAUAGCAUAGUCAGAGCGGUCAACAACCCGUCAGUAACUAGCCAUUCCGUUUAUAGUUUGCUGUUGCAAAUUGUUUAUAUUAUUAUCCCUCGUUCUCUUGCUCUUGGGUUUAGGUAUAUUGACUCAUAAAAAAAUCUUGAUGUAAUGAAAAUUCACCCACCUUAUGGUUUUAUAGAAACUGCGUACUAUUUCCAGUUGAACAAAUUUACUUUCAGCAAUAAGAACAACUCAAACUCGGUAACUUUAAUUAGCUAAUUCGGUGCAAACGAGCACAUAUUACUCAACCAAUGCAAAUAGUGCAGCUAAUGUAAUUUGAAACUUUAGUUGGCUGCACGCAUUAGCAUAAAUGAACACUAUGUGCAGCCAAUCUAAUUUUAGGUCCACUUGCAUUGUGCCAUAAACAAAUGGACAAGCACUGGAAGAAGCCAAG